rnacentral:misc_RNA from 1 species
GUGUAAACUUUAUUGGAUGUUUAUACUGAUUUUUAAGAAAAUGUUGUUUGAUCAUGAUUUGCUAUUGGACCAUGCACAAGAGAGCUGAUAGUGUUUUCAUGUACUGUAGGUGCAUGGGCACUGUCUCAGAAGUAAAACAAAUACUUGUAGUUCAACUAUAAAAAUACUAAUUUAUUCUCUCUUCUUUCAGCAACAGUACUCAAUUAUAUCAUUAGGAAAUGAAUGUCAUCUUUGUCACCCUUGGCUAGCGAAAAUGAAUGAAUGCAUGCUUCAAUCAUGUUAUUAUGACAAAAUUCUCCCUGGGAAGGGGGUGUCCAUAUCCCUAGAUAAAUUCAAAUUUCUUAUAUUCAAAUUGUAAAUGAACAAAAUAGGCCUUUGAACCGACCCCUUUGGCAAAAAAAAUGAUAAAGAUCAUUGCUCGAAAUCCCUACACCGCCCCCCCCCCCCCAAUCCUGAUCCGUGCAUAUGAUUCCCUUUGAGGUCAAUAGAACAUUGUGAUUGAUUUAUAUGUUAUAGGAAGAAUAGGAAAGAUGUUGACAACUACUACUUCAUGUAAUAUAGGACAUCAAGGUCUUUGUUGCUCCCUCGGCUGUAAAGUGCUGACUUAAGACAGUACGGCUCAGAAUGUGCACUGAUUAAUUCCUUUACUCCAUCAAAAUACUCACCAUUACAACAUGAUUUGGACCAAAGUAUGGGUUAACAUGGUUAGGUGUGUCCAAUUUUAAUUUAUCAACUACAUUUAUUAUUUUUAUGAUUUCUGCAGAACUAUCCAAUAAAUGAUGUACAUUUACCUAAAAUAUGUAAAUUGUAUUGAAAUUUUUUUUUAUAAUUUAUGAUUACUAUAAUUUUCUACUGAUAAAUGCGUGUAUAGCUAUAUCAACAGAAUGUUGCAAUGAAUUAAUAUAUAUAUUGAAAAAAAUAUGUUUUAAUUUCUAUAUUUUGAAGUUAUUGAUAAGGGAAAACAAGAAGCUAUAUAAUUUAUUUGAAAUAUGUAUUUGAAUUAUCUGAAGUUCUGUAAUUAAAAAAUUUUGCCAGAAAUACAAUUGAUUUCAAUAAAUGAUAUAAAAUCG